AGAUUGAACGCUGGCGGCAGGCCUAACACAUGCAAGUCGAGCGGUAGAGAGGUGCUUGCAUCUCUUGAGAGCGGCGGACGGGUGAGUAAUGCCUAGGAAUCUGCCUAGUGGUGGGGGAUAACGUUCGGAAACGGACGCUAAUACCGCAUACCGUCCUACGGGAGAAA
rnacentral:rRNA from 1 species